rnacentral:misc_RNA from 1 species
AAGGAAUUGUGCCAUCAGGUUGAAUACGUGGCUGUUUUGCUUCAGAAUCGAAGUUUUCUGUAAUGACUUUGUAAACUGGGUCGUUCAAGUAUGUGAAUGAAGUGCCAGAGUCGAAAAUGGCUGUGAAAUCAAGAUCAGUGAUCUUGCUUCCUACUGUUAUUCCUGUCAGGCUGAUGUUAUAAGUUGGGUGUGGUUGAUCAAGAUUGAGUGGUGUUUCUCCUUGGCCUGGACUUCCUUUAUCUCCAAAAACUAUUCUUCCAAUACCAUCAGGUCCAAAGCACAUAGAGAAAGAAUUUGCAGCAAGACCUUUGCUUGCUAACAUGCUUGGGACAGAUAUAUUUUCAAUACCAAGUCCAAAUAGACCAUUAGGAGCUGCACCAGUUAAAAAUGCACCUGUUUGUCUUAUCCCACAACCCAGAGCAAUUGGAGCUUCAAUGCUUUUUUGUUGAGCAUUAUUUGUUUCUAAGUGCAAGAUGUCUUCCACCAGUACCCCUGAUGAUGAGGUGUUAUUGGAGAGAUAUGCAACUCCAUAAGCACAUGCAUUCUGCGAAGCUAAGCAUCGUCUAUUUUGUCCACACAAAGUGCCAUUGCACGGAACAAUCUCACUCGUUGAAGACGUAUUAGGGCUGUAGAUAUUAAGAUUUAUUCGUCCUCCACUGCGUGUCUGAAGGGCACGCACACAGUUGCUGCAAUCACAUGGUAGCCAAAAUAAGUCACUGCCAGUGUCAAGUGCCACUAGAAAUGAUAGCCCAGGACUGCCCACAGUGACAUUUGCAUAAUGCAAGAAUCCCAAAGAACUGAGCCGCAAAGUUUCAUUUCCUCCAGAAAAAGCAAGGGGCACUGUGGGAUUAGUUGUAUCAGCAAGGCGACGGCCCUUAACAAACCGAUCACGUUGAGUCCAAGCUGAAUAAUAUUCAACAGUCCCCUUCUCAGGCAACCCAUGAAGGUCCAAAAUACCCUUUACCGGAUCCGAA